GACGAACGCUGGCGGCGUGCUUAACACAUGCAAGUCGAACGAAGUGGCGAACGGGUGAGUAACGCGUAAUCAACCUGCCCUUCAGGGGGGGAUAACAGUUGGAAACGACUGCUAAUACCGCAUACUGAAGGAGGGGAUUGCGUCUGAUUUGCUAGUUGGGGGGGUAACGGCCCACCAAGGCGAUGAUCAGUAGCCGGGCUGGGGGGAUGAACGGCCCAAUUGGGACUGGGACCCGGGCCAGGAUCCUACGGGAGGCAGCAGGUGGGAAUCUUCCGCAAUGGACGAAAGGUUGACGGGGCAACGCCGGGUGAGUGAUGACGGGCUUCGGGUUGGAAAGCUCCGUUAAUCGGGACGCGGUACCGGAAUAGAAAGCCACGGCUAACUACGUGCCAGCAGCCGCGGUAAUUC
rnacentral:rRNA from 1 species